AUUGAACGCUGGCGGCAGGCCUAACACAUGCAAGUCGAGCGGAUGAAGGGAGCUUGCUCCUGGAUUCAGCGGCGGACGGGUGAGUAAUGCCUAGGAAUCUGCCUGGUAGUGGGGGAUAACGUCCGGAAACGGGCGCUAAUACCGCAUACGUCCUGAGGGAGAAAGUGGGGGAUCUUCGGACCUCACGCUAUCAGAUGAGCCUAGGUCGGAUUAGCUAGUUGGUUGGGUAAAGGCCUACCAAGGCGACGAUCCGUAACUGGCCUGAGAGGAUGAUCAGUCACACUGGAACUGAGACACGGUCCAGACUCCUACGGGAGGCAGCAGUGGGGAAUAUUGGACAAUGGGCGAAAGCCUGAUCCAGCAAUGCCGAGUGUGUGAAGAAGGUCUUCGGAUUGUAAAGCCCUUUAAGUUGGGAGGAAGGGCAGUAAGUUAAUACCUUGCUGUUUUGACGUUACCAACAGAAUAAGCCCCGGCUAACUUCGUG
rnacentral:rRNA from 1 species